rnacentral:rRNA from 1 species
GUGCCAGCAGCCGCGGUAAUACCGGCAGCCCAAGUGAUGGCCGAUCUUAUUGGGCCUAAAGCGUCCGUAGCUGGCCGCGCAAGUCCAUCGGAAAAUCCACCUGCCCAACAGGUGGGCGUCCGACGGAAACUGUGUGGCUUGGAACCGGAAGGCUCAGAGGGUACGUCCGGGGUAGGAGUGAAAUCCCGUAAUCCCGGACGGACCACCGAUGGCGAAAGCACUCUGAGAAGACGGAUCCGACAGUGAGGGACGAAAGCUAGGGUCUCGAACCGGAUUAGAUACCCGGGUAGUCC